GAGGAAAAGAAACUAACAAGGAUUCCGUCAGUAGCGGCGAGCGAACACGGAGGAGCCCAGCGCUGAAUCCCCCGGCGGUGACCCGUCGGCGGGAAAUGUAGCGUUAGGGAGCGUCCGACUCACCCGAGCGCGCGCGGCCAGCCCAAGUCUCCCUUGAACGGUGCCACCAUCCACAGAGGGUGCCAGGCCCGUACGGCGGACACUGACCGCGUUCGGGCGGACGUCUCCCAGGAGUCGGUCUGCUUUGGAACGCAGACCUAAGCGGGUGGUAAACUCCAUCUAAGGCUAAAUAUGACCACGAGACCGAUAGCGCACAAGUACCGUGAGGGAAAGGUGAAAAGAACUUUGAAGAGAGAGUUCAAGAGUACGUGAAACUGGAGAGGUGAAAACGCAAGUGGCUCGAUGUUCCGAACGGGGGCGUUCAGUCUCGCCCGUCCUCCCCCCGCUGCGCUCCAUGUCACAUGAGGAGAUCGUGCGGCGCGGUAACGGCGUGCCGUCCAGUCCUCGUGGCUGGCGGUCGCGUCGGCCGCGCCCCUCCGGCGUGCGGGUUUUUCUGGUGAGGUUACGGGCGUGGAUGCACUCGCUCCCGUAGUAGGAUGUCGCGACCCGUCUGGUGCCGGUCGUGAGGCCGACCGAGGUAGCCCGGUGUCCGUGUGACCUGAACCCCUAGGGAGAAACUCAGGCGGUGCGGCCCGGACUCGGACGUGUCCCCUCUCCGGCUGCCGGACGGUAUCGAAAAGGAGUCGGUCGGAAGCCUGCCCCGCUCUGUCGGCGUGACGUAUGACGUCUCUUGUCACAUGUCGGGGCGGCAAUACAAAUCCGAACCACCGACUGUCUGCGGCAUUGCCCGAUUCGGGUCCACUUGCGACCCGUCUUGAAACACGGACCAAGGAGCGUAACACAUGCGCGAGUCGAAGGGUGCUUCUAAACCCAUAGGCGCAGCGAAAGCGUAGGGGACGAUGGCUUAUCAAGGUCGUGCUCUCCGGUCGCGGUUUUAAACCCGCCUCCACGGAUCCGGCCAGCCCGCAGUCCCGGGGCACCUCAUGUGGGUCCUGGUCGUCGUCCCGUCGAUUCCCCGUUACGUCCCGUCUCAGCCCCGUCAAAAGGGUUCGGGGCGGGAGCCGUGCGGACCAGUAUCGUGCGGGAACCACGGCGGCCCCGACUCGAGGCGCACCUGUGAGCGUAUGUGUUGUUACCCGAAAGAUGGUGAACUAUGCCUGGCCAGGACGAAGCCAGGGGAAACCCUGGUGGAAGUCCGUAGCGAUUCUGACGUGCAAAUCGAUCGUCGGAGCUGGGUAUAGGGGCGAAAGACUAAUCGAACCAUCUAGUAGCUGGUUCCCUCCGAAGUUUCCCUCAGGAUAGCUGGCGCUCGGACGAUGUUGAAGAGACCUAAUGAGUCUCAUCCGGUAAAGCGAAUGAUUAGAGGCCUUGGGGCCGAAACGACCUCAACCUAUUCUCAAACUUUAAAUGGGUGAGAACCCCGGCUUGCUUGAUACCGGCUCGUCCGCUUGCCGUGACCCUCUCGGGGUGUCCACGGCUCGUCGGGCGGUCGGAAAACGAAUGUGAAGCCGCGGGACUAGAGAAACGUAGUGGAUCGUGAGUGCCAAGUGGGCCAAUUUUGGUAAGCAGAACUGGCGCUGUGGGAUGAACCAAACGCAGAGUUAAAGCGCCCGAAUCGACGCUCAUGGGAGACCAUGAAAGGUGUUGGUUGCUUAAGACAGCAGGACGGUGGCCAUGGAAGUCGGAAUCCGCUAAGGAGUGUGUAACAACUCACCUGCCGAAGCAACUAGCCCUUAAAAUGGAUGGCGCUGAAGCGUCGUGCUUAUACUCUGCCGCCGGUGGCAAAAGAGGCCAACAUACCCUCGCACACGGAAUAUCCAUAAUCUGGGCGACCAGUACGGACCGGCGAGGGGGUCAUGAGGCCCCGGUGAGUAGGAGGGUCGCUCGGGUGUGCACAGAAGGGUCUGGGCGUGAGCCUGCCUGGAGCCGCCCGAGGUGCAGAUCUUGGUGGUAGUAGCAAAUACUCCAGAGAGGGCCCUGGAGGGCUGAUGCGGAGAAGGGUUCCGUGUGAACAGCUGUUGCACACGGGUCAGUCGAUCCUAAGCCCUAGGAGAACUCCUAUGUGCGAUGUGUGGGUAUCAAAAUAACUCAUAAUUAUUUUAUAUCUAUCCCACCGCCGGGCGAAAGGGAAUCAGGUUCCUAUUCCUGAACCCAGGUGCGGUACCGUUUUUCCGGGCUUGUCUCGAAGCGUUUCGCGGCCGUUCACGGUGCCCUCAAAAGCCCGUCGUUCGGUACCGCGUGCGCCUAGGGCGAACUCGUCGGGGUAACCCGAACAGCCGCGGAGAAGCCGGCAGGAGCCCCCGGGAGAGUUGUCUUUUCUGUAUUACCGCGCAAGUUCCCUGGAAUUCCAUCGCGGAGAGAGAGGGAAUAGCGCGGGAAGAGCACCGCACUUGCGGCGGUGUCGGGGGUGGCCUCUCGGACCAUGAAAAUCCGCGUGAGGGUCACGGAGAACAACCGACCUGGCUCGUACCCAUAUCCGCAGCCGGUCUCAGGUGAGAGCCUCUAGUCG
rnacentral:rRNA from 1 species